rnacentral:rRNA from 1 species
ACAGCGGUGGAGUAUGUGGUUUAAUUCGAUGCAACGCGAAGAACCUUACCUGGUCUUGACAUCCCGGAGACCCUUAGGAAACUAGGGGUGCUUCCAUCUGGAAGAAUCUGGAGACAGGUGCUGCAUGGCUGUCGCCAGCUCGUGUCGUGAGAUGUUGGGUUAAGUCCCGCAACGAGCGCAACCCUUGCCUUUAGUUGCCAGCAGUUCGGCUGGGCACUCUAAAGGGACUGCCGGUGUUAAACCGGAGGAAGGUGGGGAUGACGUCAAGUCCUCAUGGCCUUUAUGACCAGGGCUACACACGUACUACAAUGGCCGAUACAAAGGGCAGCGACACUGCGAGGUGAAGCCAAUCCCGUAAAAUCGGUCUCAGUCCGGAUUGGAGUCUGCAACUCGACUCCAUGAAGUUGGAAUCGCUAGUAAUCGUGGAUCAGCAUGCCACGGUGAAUACGUUCCCGGGCCUU